UACAGAGGUCCCGAGCGUUGUUCGGAUUUACUGGGCGUAAAGGGUGCGUAGGCGGUGGGGUAAGUUUGAGGUGAAAGCUCCGGGCUCAACCCGGAAAAUGCCUUGAAAACUAUCCGGCUAGAGGGUUGGAGGGGAGACUGGAAUUCUCGGUGUAGCAGUGAAAUGCGUAGAUCUCGAGAGGAACACCAGUGGCGAAGGCGGGUCCCUGGACAACACCUGACACUGAGGCACGAAAGCUAGGGGAGCAAACAGG
rnacentral:rRNA from 1 species